GUGGGGAAUAUUGCGCAAUGGGGGAAACCCUGAUGCAGCAACGCCGCGUGAGUGAUGACGGCCUUCGGGUUGUAAAGCUCUGUCUUUGGGGACGAUAAUGACGGUACCCAAGGAGGAAGCCACGGCUAACUACGUGCCAGCGGCCGCGGUAAUACGUAGGUGGCAAGCGUUGUCCGGAUUUACUGGGCGUAAAGGGAGCGUAGGCGGAUGUUUAAGUGGGAUGUGAAAUACUCGGGCUCAACUUGAGUGCUGCAUUCCAAACUGGAUAUCUAGAGUGCAGGAGAGGAAAGGAGAAUUCCUAGUGUAGCGGUGAAAUGCGUAGAGAUUAGGAAGAAUACCAGUGGCGAAGGCGCCUUUCUGGACUGUAACUGACGCUGAGGCUCGAAAGCGUGGGGAGCAAACAGGA
rnacentral:rRNA from 1 species